rnacentral:rRNA from 1 species
AACGAACGCUGGCGGCAGGCUUAACACAUGCAAGUCGAGCGGGCCCUUCGGGGUCAGCGGCAGACGGGUGAGUAACACGUGGGAACGUACCUUUUGGUUCGGAACAACUCCGGGAAACUGGAGCUAAUACCGGAUAAGCCCUUAGGGGGAAAGAUUUAUCGCCACAAGAUCGGCCCGCGUCUGAUUAGCUAGUUGGUGGGGUAACGGCCCACCAAGGCGACGAUCAGUAGCUGGUCUGAGAGGAUGAUCAGCCACACUGGGACUGAGACACGGCCCAGACUCCUACGGGAGGCAGCAGUGGGGAAUAUUGGACAAUGGGCGCAAGCCUGAUCCAGCCAUGCCGCGUGAGUGAUGAAGGCCUUAGGGUUGUAAAGCUCUUUUGUCCGGGAAGAUAAUGACUGUACCGGAAGAAUAAGCCCCGGCUAACUUCGUG